GAAUUCGCCCUUAGAGUUUGAUCCUGGCUCAGGACGAACGCUGGCGGCGUGCUUAACACAUGCAAGUCGAGCGGGGAUAGUUGAGGCUUCGGCGGAGACUAUUCUAGCGGCGGACGGGUGAGUAACGCGUGAGCAAUCUGUCCCGGACAGGGGGAUAACACUGUGAAAACAGUGCUAAUACCGCAUAAGACCACGGAGGGGCAUCCCUUUGAGGUAAAAGAAUUAUCGGUUCGGGGUGAGCUCGCGUCCCAUUAGAUAGUUGGUGAGGUAACGGCUCACCAAGUCAGCGAUGGGUAGCCGACCUGAGAGGGUGAUCGGCCACAUUGGAACUGAGACACGGUCCAGACUCCUACGGGAGGCAGCAGUGGGGAAUAUUGGGCAAUGGGCGCAAGCCUGACCCAGCAACGCCGCGUGAAGGAAGAAGGUUUUCGGAUUGUAAACUUCUGUCCUAAGUGACGAAGGAAGUGACGGUAGCUUAGGAGGAAGCCCCGGCUAACUACGUGCCAGCAGCCGCGGUAAUACGUAGGGGGCGAGCGUUGUCCGGAAUGACUGGGCGUAAAGGGCGUGUAGGCGGCUCUUUAAGUAUGGAGUGAAACCCCGGCUUUCAAGGACGGGACUGCUUUGUAGACUGGAGAGCUUGAGUGCGGAAGAGGUAAGUGGAAUUCCCAGUGUAGCGGUGAAAUGCGUAGAGAUUGGGAGGAACACCAGUGGCGAAGGCGACUUACUGGGUCGUAACUGACGCUGAGGCGCGAAAGCGUGGGGAGCGAACAGGAUUAGAUACCCUGGUAGUCCGCACAGUCAACGAUGUACACUGGAUUUUUGGGCAUGAGCCUGAGAGUCGUAGCAAACGCGUUAAGUGUACCGCCUGGGGAGUAUGCCCGCAAGGGUGAAACUCAAAGGAAUUGACGGGGGACCGCACAAGCGGUGGAGCAUGUGGUUUAAUUCGAUGGUACGCGAGGAACCUUACCUGGGUUUGACAUACAAAGGAAUAAUUUAGAGAUAAGUUAGCGUAGCAAUACGUCUUUGAACAGGUGCUGCAUGGCUGUCGUCAGCUCGUGCUGUGAAGUGUUAUGUUAAGUCAUAAAACGAGCGCAACCCCUAUUGUUAUUUACCAACAGGUCAAGCUGGGAACUAUAACGAAACUGCCGAUGACAAAUCGGAGGAAGGUGGGGAUGACGUCAAGUCAUCAUGGCCCUUAUGUCCAGGGCUACACACGUGCUACAAUGGUAGGUACAGAGUGAGGCGAAACAGUGAUGUGGAGCAAAACGCAGAAAACCUAUCGUAGUUCGGAUUGAAGUCUGAAACCCGACUUCAUGAAGUUGGAAUCGCUAGUAAUCGCAUAUCAGCAUGAUGCGGUGAAUACGUUCCCGGUCCUUGCACUCACCGCCCGUCA
rnacentral:rRNA from 1 species